UUUUUUAUUUAUUUUCUUUUUUUAAAUUUUUUUUCAACUGCAUCUUUGAUAAUAAAAAUAUUUUCCUAAGUAUCUACCAAACCAUUGUUGCACUUAAGAAGACUAACACAACUUCCAUUUAUGAUCUGUGAUAUAGUCUACACUCAAGUUAUUCCAGUUCCUCACAAGCCUCACGUGUCUUUUAUAAUUUUCCCUCCAUCUUAUUUUUAAUCCAGCAUCAAAAUUUCAUGUACUGCAUUUGGUUCUUAGGUUUCUCUAAAACAUUUUUUAUAAGAUUUUAUUUAUCUAUUUAUUUAUUUGAGGGGGAGAGAGAGAGAGAGAGAGAGGGAGAAAGGAUGAGCAGGAAGGGCAAAAGGAGAGGGAGAGAGAGAAUCCUAAGCAAACUCCAGGCUGAAUGCAGAGCCUGACGCAGGGGCUGGAUCCCAGGACCCCGAGAUGAUGACCUAAGCUGAAACCAAGAGUCAGACACUUAACCAACUGCACCACUCAGGCACUCCUAAAUCUUUUAUCCCCUUUGCUUUUUUUGUGUGUUUCAUGUUAUGUUAAUUUUUUUUUAAUCCAGACCAGCUGUCUGUCACAAUACCCCACUUUCUGGAUUUGUCUAAUUGUCCCCCAUGAUUGAAUAUAAUUUAAUAUAUUUGGCAAGAAUAUUCCCUAGGUGAUAUUACAUCAAAUCAGUGGCAUAUAAAAUCAGAUUGUUCCUCCUGGUGGUACUAAGUUUGAUCACAUGGAUACAGUGACCUGCACUGUGUAGGUACAAAAAUGUUCACUUUGUAAGAACGUAAGUAAUCUGUAAAAAGAUACUUUGAGAUUAUGUGAAUAUCCUGUUCCCAACCAUCUUUCUCCAAAAGGGUUAGUACUAACUAGUCCUGAUGGACUGAUGAUUGAAUUAAGGGUUGAAAAACUGUGAUUCUCUUAUAUUAUCUGUUUUUCUAUAAUUAUUGGUGUUCUUCUAGUAAAAGGAUCUUCUAAUAAAGGGAUUCUUCUUAAAAAGGGAUCGCUCUAUACAUAUUUAGGUAUAUACAUACAAAUAUACAUAUGUGUCACUAUUGCCUCAUGUUUUUACUUUUUAUUUAAUGUGUUAUAAUCCCUUAUCAUAUUUAUUCCUUUUUGAUGUUCAGAUUGUCCAAAUUUAGCCAGCUAUAUAUAUUUCAUGCCAAUUCCUAAAGGUGGACACAUUCUUAUUUGGAAUAGUUUUUUGUUGAAUUGCUUAAGUUUUUCAAUGAACUCUCACUUUAAAUGGAUUUUGAUAUUUUCUAUGAGAAACAGUUUAUAUAACUUUGUAUAUAUAGUUACUGAUCAUUUGAAAAAACCUUAAAUCACAAUAGUUUGGGAUAGUAUACUUGGAAAUACUGACAUACAACAUGAUUAUGUAUUUGAAAGCAACUAGUUCAUUAAUUCCAUUUUAGUGGGGUUUACUUCAGGGUACUUUUAAUAAAACUAUUAACACUAAUAGUAAAAUGGUAUUAAACAUUGAAAAUUACCAAGAAUCUCAAAACUUCUAAAUUACCUUGUCCAUUUUAAGAUACCUCUAUGGAUUUUACAUUGUUGUAAUAAUAAUACAUAUUAUUAUUUGUUAUUUUCACCUAAUAGUAAUUUAUCUAAUUUUUCAGAGGACACAGACAUAAAACUCAGUGAUAUAUGGAGUUUCAAAACAUGUAUCAUGAAACCAAACCCUACCACACUAAUUAUUAAUUAAUUUUUAUUAUAAAAACAAUUCAAGGGGAUCCCUGGGUGGCUCAGCAGUUUGGCACCUGCCUUCAGCCCAGGGCGUGAUCCUGGAGUCCUGGGAUCGAGUCCCGUGUCGGGCUCCUUGCAUGAGGCCUGCUCUUCCCUCUUUCUGUGUCUCUGCCUCUCUCUCUCUCUCUCUCUCUCUGUGUGUGUGUGUCAUGAAUAAAUGAAUAAAAUAUUUUUAAAAAAAGCAAUUCAAACACAUGACAAAAAAGGUCAAAAAGUCUAAGAUGAAAUAUAGUGAAAUCAUGUUUUCCUUCUACUCAAGAUGGUCUCUCCCUCUUCAAAACCAUCCAUUUUCACAGCUUCUUGAAGGAAGGAAUUCCAGAAAUUUUAAAUUCAUAAACAUACAUGUAGGUAAAAACUUUGUUGUUGUUGUUUGCUAAAGAAAGGAGAAUUUAUAACAGCCAGCAUUCUGCAUUUAACUGGUUCCCCAAAUGGAAUCUGAGGACAGAUUUUCAUUCCACAUCAGCACACCCCUGGUUGCUAACUCUCUUUAAUGGAUACAUGCCUAGUUUUUCACCAGGCAGCUAUGCCGUAAUUUAUUGAACCAGUUCCACAUUAGUUGAUGCUUUUCAUUUGUUUAUUUGCUUGUUUUUUACCAUUUCCAGUAAUGUUGCAAUAAACAUAAGUGUGCAUGGACACAGAUGGGAGUAUCCAUUUAGAAUAAAUAUCUAAAUAUAAAAAUAUUAAGUCAAAAGAUCAAGAUGGAUUUUAAUCUGAGAGAUAUUGUCGAUAGUAUAUGAGUUACCUCUUCCCCUACAUCCUUAGUAAAACUAUAAAGUAGCAAAAUUUCAGUCUCUGCCAUAUCCUGAGAUAAGUGAAAAUUAAGUUUAAUUUCUUUAAAUAGGAGAGUGAGCAUUUUUCUUGUUUAUGAAUAUUUUAUAUUUUUUGUCAAUCACUGUCUUUGUGAUUUUCCAUUGAACUAUAUGUCUUUCCUUUAUGAUUUUGUAAGGACUCUCUUUAAAGAGGGAAUUGGGGCUUUGUCAGUUGCAUAAGUGAAGGCAUAUCUUUUCCCCUAGUUUAUCUUUUGAUUACUUAUGGCAUGUUUUGCAUAUGUAGUGAAAUUAAUCAGUGUCUUGCUAUAUGAUUUACUGAUUAAGAGAGUUUUCCUGGGGCACCUGGGCUGGCUCAGUCAGUAGAGCAUGUGACUCUUGAUUUCAGGGUCAUGAGUUCAAGGCCCACGUUGGGCAUGGAGCCUACUUAAUAAUGAAAGGAAAGAAUUUCCCCUAAUUGUUAUUAAAAUUUUUGGUAACAUUUUCUUCCAGCAUUUUUAACUUUUCUUAUCUCUUAAAGAUUUAUUUACUUUAGAGGGGGAACAGCAGAGGGAGAGAGAAAAUCCUAAGCAGGCUCCAUGCCCAGCACAGAGCCCAAAGAGGGGCUUGAUCUCACAACCCUGAGACCACGACCUAAGCCAAAAGCAAGCUUAACCAACUGAGCCAUCCAGGUGCCCCUCAUAUUUUUAUAUUAUAGUGCUUUAUCCAUGGAGGUUUAACAUAAAGAAUGAUUACAGCUAGCUUUGUUUUCCCAAAUGGCUAGCCAAGCUACCAUAAUACCAUUUAUUUUUUCCACAGUACUUUGAAAUGUCACCCACAUUCCAUGCAAAAUUCUCACAUGGCUUUGAACCUAUAUCUCUAUUUGGUUCUGUUAAUUUCUCUAUUUCCAUGCUAGAACUAUUUUCAUUACAGUAGAUUUAAACAUGUACUGGGUCUAGGAGGCAUACCUGCCCUUUCCACUUAGACUUAAGGACUUGAGCUCUAGAGCCACACUUGCUUGGGUUCAAAUCCUGCCUCUGUCACUUGCUGUGAGACCUUGGUGAAGUUAUGUAGAUCUCUCUGUGCCUUCUUUUCUUCACCUGUAAUAGGGAUAAUAAUAAUAAAACCUACCCUGUAGGGAUAUAAGGAGGUGUAACCGGUAUAAUUCAUACAGAAUGGCUAUAAUUGUGCCUGAUAAAGAGUCAUUUUUAAAUUAUUAUUAAUUUUUUUCUUUCCAAAAGAUUUCCUGGCCUUUCUCAGAUUUUCAUUUCUUCAUAUGACCAUCAGGAUUGAUUUGCCCAUGUUCAAACCUUCUAUAGUAGCCGGCCUCCAAGAUGGUCCUCAGUAAUUCAUGACUCCCAGAAUUCACGCCCUUAGGUAGUCUCCUCUCACUUUAAAUAGGACUGACCUGUGUGGCCAAUAGGAUAUUGCAGAAGUAACAGUGUAUGACAUUUAAAACUAGGUCAUAAAAGACAUUGCUUCUUCCAUAUUAUCCUCUCUUGGAUCAUUUACUCUGGGAGAAGCAACUACUAUGUUGUGAAAACAUUUAUGCAUCCUCUGGAGAGACUCACAUGGGAGGAAGUGAGGCUUCCUGCCAACAACCAUGGUCAUGAGAAUAAAUCUUAGUGAAUCCUCCAGCCCAAGUCAUUCAUGCACAUGACUGAAGUCUUGCCUACAACUUCAUGAGAGACUCCAACCCAAAACCAUCCAACAAAACUCCCCCAAAUCCCCAAUACACAGAAACCCUGUGAAUCAAUAAGGCCUUAAUAUUUAUCAGUUUGGUUUCUUCCAUUAUUCUGAGCAUUCUUUUUAAUUAAUUAAUUAAUUAAUUAAUUAUUGGUUUUUAAUUAAUUAAGAGACAGAGGAGAGAAAGAGCAUGGGCAGGGGAAGACAGAGAGGGAGAAGUAGACUCCCAGCUGAGCACACUGCAGAAUGUGGGACUCCAUCCCAGGACUCCUGAGACCAUGACCUGAGCUGAAGUCAGAUGCUCAACCAAGACACUCAGGCGCCCCCCAUUAUUCUGAACAUUCUUGCAGUUAAAGACUGCCAGUUUCCCCAGUUGGGUUGAAAUAGUUAACAUUUUUAUUUUAUAACAUCUUGUUUUAAUAGAAAUAUUAAUAAUUAAUUUUUUAAAUUAUGCCAAAUCAAAUCUUGCUUUCAAGUUCUUAGUAACAGGACUAAAAAAAUGUUUAAGAAAAUGACUAAAAUAUGAUACUCAUUAUCCCAAAUCACAAUCUUUCACUUGCUCUCCUUAAUCCUACUUGACCUUUAACCAAAAGAUUUGAUUAUCUUCCUAACCCAUGGGAAGCAGAAAUCAGAACUACAGAAAUAAAUAAAAACAUGCUUCUCAAUAAAAAAAGGUUUAACAUAAAAGGGAGCCACAUCUUGCUGAGGGGAAAAAAAAUCUUCCUAAAUAAAUUUUCCUAUUAAUAACUCUUAAAAGUAAUGCAAUUUCUGAGAUAUUUCAGUUGAAAAACAGUUUCCAGAUAAAACAGGACAGGAAGGAAGCAAUGGGGAACAUCUUCGAGACCCAGGAAAAUGAGAACACUACAGGGUAACUGGUAAAUUGAUUUUUAAUAAUGUUAGAAGCUUGCAAACCUUCUCUCAUCAUUGUGCUGCACUAAGAGAAUACAUUAGCAGGUGUUAAAACACCCUCCAAGGAUUUUCGAUUUCAUUAUUAUAUCCAUGCAAAGGAAAGGCAAGCCAAAAUAACACCUAGGCAAGUAAAAAGUUCUUUAUUCCCUAGAAUUGUUUAGUGUCAAAUUUACCCUUACCUAGGUCUAACAGAAGAACAUCUUGCACUUUAUACAGAAGGCAAAUUAAUAUAGAAGUUUAGAUCUGGAGACCCCACAUUUUACUGAUUUUAAUUCCAGAAACAUUAUCUUGCAUAUAAAUGAUAAUUCUGCCUGAGAAGAUCCUCUUCUGUGCUUUCCAGGAAAUGUUAUGCCAAGACUUUCCAAAGUCUUAUUACAAUGCCAGAUUGAUAAGCAGGUUUGAUCAACACUAGCAGAAUCAUCUCACACCAAACAUUAUAGGAUUUACAAGAGUAUAGACCGUGACGGUAACAUGUAAGCUGGCUUUUUCUGUGCUUAACUUGGAACCACAGACGUGUUCAGCUCAAACCUUUUCAAGUCUUAACAUCUGUUAUGAGCAUGAUGAAAAACAAUAGACUUGGGAAAUUGGAUUCAUUUCAAUACUCAUUUCAGCAGCCUGACUCAAUGUAGCUACAGGAUUGACAUAAAUAGUGGCAAGAACAAGAAAGACUAUUUAAUCCCGGCAAGGAAAUUUGUGAUUGUUGAGACUGCAGAUUUGGGGUCUACGUGUAGGACAUUGUGGAAUAUUCUUUUCAAAUACCUGACUAAUCUCUUCAGAAGCCCAGUGUAAGAUUUAUUGUAGCAUCUUAGUCAACAACUAAGAGAGGGUUUUAUCUUCACUUACUGUACCAUGUGAACUGGAGUUAAAUGGUUUCCUUUAAAAGAAAUACUUCAUUGAUUUUCUGAGCCCCCAGUCACAACUCCAGUCAACAUUUACACCAACAUUAUUUGGUUUUCAAAUGAAUAGAUUCUCCUUAGUCUGCUUAACAAACA
rnacentral:lncRNA from 1 species